GAGAGAGUGAGCAUAUGCGCAUGUGUAUGUCUGCGCCCGUGCAGGGAGGAGGGGUGUGAACAGACACUGCUGGACGGAUGGCUGGAGUUUAGUCCCUUCCUUCGGGACUCUCCACCACUCCUUCGGCUUCCCUUCUCCUGCCCAGCCCUGUCCUGGGUGCACAGAGAGGAAGUCACUCCAUUCCUGCCCUUGAGGAGCUCCCAGACCCGGGGCAGGAGCGGGAUGCAGACAACUAGACAGCACCCUGGGCUGUGCAAGGAAUGUACUACAGAGCCAAUUUUACUGGCAAAGGAGGAAUGGAGGAUCUGAAAGGCUAGGGGAUCCCACAGGCAGUGAGGAGCAGGUCUGGAAUUUGAACCAAUCGGCAUGAUUCCCAAGCUCAAGCUUUUGGCCACCGUCCGCACUGCCAGGGACAGAAAAAAAAACCUGGGAGGAGAGCCAAGCCAAGCUGGGGAGUCAGGACCUCCCAGCCAGGUCUGGAUGGGAGGGACAACUGACGGCAGAGCUGGGAGGAAAUGUGGCCUCGUGAAAGGAGAAUCAGAUCCGGCAGCCAGAAGCUUCCCACCAGGAGGCAGGAAAGGAAGAGGGGGCUGUGUGUGCCCUAGCAGAGGCCUGACCCUCUAGGAACCUCUGUCUCUCCUUCAGUGAGUGGGGAAGCGGGGCUGGCUGCUGGCCUGGCUUUGCCCUCUGGUCUAAUCAAGGAAGACUUCCCAGAAGAGGAGGAACCUUGGCUGGGUCAAGAAAAAACAAUGGGCAGAGUUUAAACGGGCAGAGGUGGGGUGAAAAGGCAUGAGUCACAGAAAGCCACGUAAGCAAAAGCCUAGAGUAGAAAUCACAAGCUGUAGUUCAUUAAGUUGAAGCCCUGAGAGGGGAGGUGACUUGUCUCAAGACACACAGAAAGGCAGGGAUAGGCCUGUAGCAAAGCUGCUGCUCCCCCACCCCCAGGCCUCUUCCCUCUGCUGCUGUCUGCAUCCUAAACCCAAUGAGGUGAGAAGAGAUUCUUUCCAUUUAAGAUGAGUCUUCCCCAGUGGUACUUGGUGAAGCCUUAGAAUAGCAAAAGAAUGGCCAUAACAUGGAACAAGGGGGCUGUGACAGGUUGAGGCAAGUGGCAAAGGGAGACCUUUGGGACAAGGUGGAUGGCCUCCUACCUUCUGGCCCCACUUCUCUGGAUCUGGGAAUUAUCCUGGGUGAGUCCGUCUCAGAUUAUCACCCAGGACAGACACAGAAGCUGUUCCCAUAAGGCCAACAGUCACAGAGGUGAGGGGCCUCCAGGUUCCGCCAGCCAGGCAAGGCGUGCCUCCCCUCUGCCCUGCUCCUACUAGGACCCAGUUUCCUGAUCCUCCCGUCCCUACCCCGACUCCCACUCCAGGACUGGGCGUUGGGCGAGGCAGGCAUAGGCAAGGACUGGGCUGUCCUCCAGCUCUGCCGUGAGACUGGCCAAAUCUUCCAUGGAGAGAAAGCUCAGCUCAGAGAGGACAGCAGCUUUCCCAAGCUCACACACAAGUUGGCAGAGGACCCAGGACUCACAUCUGGGCUUCCUGAGUCUCAACCCAAGACUCCUUCCUGACACUUCCUAUGCCAGAGCCAGCACAGAGGGGCCACCAGAGGGAGACAGACUAGAUCUGUGGGAACCCACCGUGACACCUCCAGCACAGAGGCAAAGGGUGAACGGCACUGUGCAAGGAAAAGCCCAGAGCCUCAGGGAUGAAGGGUGCUUUGGGGGCGGGGACUGGAGCAAGGGUAGAGUGGGUGAGCUCCCCGGCCCAUGGGCCCCUGACAUCCUCUUCCUUCCCUGCAUACAUGAAACUGAUCAGCACUGGGGGCACCUAGCUCAUAUCAGGGUCUGCCCUGCCCUGCCCUGCCCUGGGAAGCCAUGCCCGGCGGCUCUGGUUGAAGAAAGGGUUUGGCCUGAGGGGGCAAGAAACACCCCACUGGCAGAAAUGGGCUCACCUGUCCUGGUCUUCCUGCCUCCCAAUUCUCCCACGUGUCAUCAGACACUCCCAUUUGAGGGUGCUUCACUCUCAAACACCAGAAAAGGCACCAACCCUCUCUUACCCUCACCCUGGCCACACACUCUCAGCCCCUCCCCAGCCUGGGCCCCCUCGGUCCCAGCUGCCCUGUGGGUACAGGGGCUUCCUGGAUAAUCCCCUAAAGCCACUAUGACAAGUCGGAAGACGAUUGUCGUGAUUCAGAAAGCAAGAUGGGGACUCACUGGAAGCCUGAGGGGCUGUUGGUGGGCCUCAGCCUCAGAAAUACAAAAAGUCUUUAUUUCA